rnacentral:rRNA from 1 species
GAUGAACGCUGGCGGCGUGCCUAACACAUGCAAGUCGAACGAAGCGCCUUACCGGAUUCUUCGGCUGAAGGUCUGGUGACUGAGUGGCGGACGGGUGAGUAACGCGUGGGUAACCUGCCCUGUACAGGGGGAUAACAGCUGGAAACGGCUGCUAAUACCGCAUAAGCGCACGAGGAGACAUCUCCUUGUGUGAAAAACUCCGGUGGUACAGGAUGGGCCCGCGUCUGAUUAGCUGGUUGGCAGGGUAACGGCCUACCAAGGCAACGAUCAGUAGCCGGUCUGAGAGGAUGAACGGCCACAUUGGAACUGAGACACGGUCCAAACUCCUACGGGAGGCAGCAGUGGGGAAUAUUGCACAAUGGGGGAAACCCUGAUGCAGCAACGCCGCGUGAGUGAAGAAGUAUUUCGGUAUGUAAAGCUCUAUCAGCAGGGAAGAUAAUGACGGUACCUGACUAAGAAGCUCCGGCUAAAUACGUG